AUUGAACGCUGGCGGCGUGCUUAACACAUGCAAGUCGUGCGGUAACAGGCGUAGCAAUACGUGCUGACGAGCGGCGAACGGGUGCGUAAUACAUGGGAAUCUGCCUUUUAGUGGGGAAUAACCCGGCGAAAGCCGGGCUAAUGCCGCAUAAGAUCUUCGGAUGAAAGCGGGGGAUCGUAAGACCUCGCGCUGAUAGAUGAGCCCAUGCCGGAUUAGCUAGNGGUGAGGUAACGGCUCACCAAGGCGACGAUCCGUAGCUGGUCUGAGAGGACGGCCAGCCACACUGGGACUGAGACACGGCCCAGACUCCUACGGGAGGCAGCAGUGGGAAUAUUGGACAAUGGGGGAAACCCUGAUCCAGCGACGCCGCGUGUGUGAAGAAGGCCUGCGGGUUGUAAAGCACUUUCGGU
rnacentral:rRNA from 1 species